rnacentral:rRNA from 1 species
UCGAACGGCAGCACGGACUUCGGUCUGGUGGCGAGUGGCGAACGGGUGAGUAAUGUAUCGGAACGUGCCCAGUAGCGGGGGAUAACUACGCGAAAGCGUAGCUAAUACCGCAUACGCCCUACGGGGGAAAGCAGGGGAUCGCAAGACCUUGCACUAUUGGAGCGGCCGAUAUCGGAUUAGCUAGUUGGUGGGGUAACGGCUCACCAAGGCGACGAUCCGUAGCUGGUUUGAGAGGACGACCAGCCACACUGGGACUGAGACACGGCCCAGACUCCUACGGGAGGCAGCAGUGGGGAAUUUUGGACAAUGGGGGAAACCCUGAUCCAGCCAUCCCGCGUGUGCGAUGAAGGCCUUCGGGUUGUAAAGCACUUUUGGCAGGAAAGAAACGUCAUGGGCUAAUACCCCGUGAAACUGACGGUACCUGCAGAAUAAGCACCGGCUAACUACGUGCCAGCAGCCGCGGUAGUACGUAGGGUGCAAGCGUUAAUCGGAAUUACUGGGCGUAAAGCGUGCGCAGGCGGUUCGGAAAGAAAGAUGUGAAAUCCCAGAGCUUAACUUUGGAACUGCAUUUUUAACUACCGAGCUAGAGUGUGUCAGAGGGAGGUGGAAUUCCGCGUGUAGCAGUGAAAUGCGUAGAUAUGCGGAGGAACACCGAUGGCGAAGGCAGCCUCCUGGGAUAACACUGACGCUCAUGCACGAAAGCGCGGGGAGCAAACAGGAUUAGAUACCCUGGUAGUCCACGCCCUAAACGAUGUCAACUAGCUGUUGGGGCC